rnacentral:lncRNA from 1 species
AGAAAACACAAAAACGAAAAAUAUGUUGCUAGUAUUCCUGCUGUUUUACUGAUUGAGGACAAAUGCUCAAAUUGUUACAGUGGUGAGACAAGCCCCCAUCGAACUAGGUACUGCACAAAUGGAGACUACAGAGUAAAAGGCCAGGUCAUCCACCGAUCAUUUUAUCUCUGGUGUAAGGCACCUGAAAUGUGGCAGUGGGAAACUUCUUCUUAGGAUCUUCAGUUUCUCUUCAUUCUCAGUACCAGCACCCUCAGUAAUUGGGAUCUUUCCUUCAGUCCCCAUCAAGCAAGAAUGUGGACACAAUGCUCCUUCUUUUGUCUAAUUACCUGUGC